rnacentral:rRNA from 1 species
GCCCAGAGACCGAUAGCGCACAAGUAGAGUGAUCGAAAGAUGAAAAGCACUUUGAAAAGAGAGUUAAACAGUAUGUGAAAUUGUUGAAAGGGAAGCGCUUGCAACCAGACUUGAGUAUCGCGGUUCCCCCUUGCUUUUGCUUGGGCUACUCCGUUUUAUCCAGGCCAACAUCGGUUCUAGGGGUUGGUUAAAGGCCUUAGGAAUGUAUCUACCUCCGGGUAGACUUAUAGCCUAGGGUGUCAUGCAACCUCCCGGGACCGAGGAACGCGCUUCGGCGAGGAUGUUGGCGUAAUGGUUGUAAGCGACCCGUCUUGAAACACGGACCAAGGAGUCUAACAUCUAUGCGAGUGUUUGGGUGUCAACCCCUACGCGGAAUGAAAGUGAACGGAGGUAGGAAGCCUCAAGGCUGCNCUAUCGACCGAUCCUGAUAUUUAUGGAUGGAUUUGAGUAAGAGCAUAGCUGUUGGGACCCGAAAGAUGGUGAACUAUGCCUGAAUAGGGUGAAGCCAGAGGAAACUCUGGUGGAGGCUCGCAGCGGUUCUGACGUGCAAAUCGAUCGUCAAAUUUGGGUAUAGGGGCGAAAGACUAAUCGAACCAUUGAACAAAUAGCUACCUAGGUGGUUAAGUGUAGCCAGAAUCUGGUUGCAAGUGCCUAUUAUUCGGGUGCAAUACUGUCAAAUUGCGGGAACGUCCUAAAGCUUUAGCGACCGCCUUCACCUGUGAAAACAGAUUCGGGCACCAGGUCAACGACCUCGGGUGUGGUAAUACUGCUAAAGAUGCUACAAUGGAUGACCUGCAGCCAAUUCCUAAAGCCUCUAGGCUACGGAUGCAGUCCACAGACUAAAUGGCAGUAGGCUCUACUGAGUCUAAGUUAUAGUCGGUCCUCUGAAGAAAUUCAGGCGUACGCGCAAAAGCUGUAGUUAAGAAUAGGCUUGAGGCAUAACUACAGCCCCGAACGCUGCGGGCAUUUCUAGAAAUGUCGGAUUAAACGCUGGUAGCUGGUUCCUGCCGAAGUUUCCCUCAGGAUAGCAGUAACGUUUUCAGUUUUAUGAGGUAAAGCGAAUGAUUAGAGGCCUUGGGGUUGAAACAACCUUAACCUAUUCUCAAACUUUAAAUAUGUAAGAAGCCCUUGUUGCUUAAUUGAACGUGGGCAUUUGAAUGUAUCGUUACUAGUGGGCCAUUUUUGGUAAGCAGAACUGGCGAUGCGGGAUGAACCGAACGGGAGGUUAAGGUGCCGGAGUGCACGCUCAUCAGACACCACAAAAGGUGUCAAUGCAUCUAGACAGCCGGACGGUGGCCAUGGAAGUCGGAAUCCGCUUAGGAGUGUGUAACAACUCACCGGCCGAAUGCAUUGGCCCUGAAAAUGGAUGGCGCUUAAGCGU